GGUACAGACUAUGGUUGUAUGGUUCAAACAUUAAUCCAGAAAACUCAUUCUACUGAUGAACUGACUCGGGUGAGAGCUAUCACAUGGAUAAAUGAGUUUGUGAAACUUGGUGUGGAGAAACUUGAGCCUUACUAUGCUGAAAUUCUAGGCGUCAUAUCCCCUUACAUGUCUGACGAGAAAGAA